rnacentral:rRNA from 1 species
AAACCAACCGGGAUUGCCUUAGUAACGGCGAGUGAAGCGGCAAAAGCUCAAAUUUGAAAUCUGGUACCUUCGGUGCCCGAGUUGUAAUUUGGAGAGGGCAACUUUGGGGCCGUUCCUUGUCUAUGUUCCUUGGAACAGGACGUCAUAGAGGGUGAGAAUCCCGUGUGGCGAGGAGUGCGGUUCUUUGUAAAGUGCCUUCGAAGAGUCGAGUUGUUUGGGAAUGCAGCUCUAAGUGGGUGGUAAAUUCCAUCUAAAGCUAAAUAUUGGCGAGAGACCGAUAGCGAACAAGUACAGUGAUGGAAAGAUGAAAAGAACUUUGAAAAGAGAGUGAAAAAGUACGUGAAAUUGUUGAAAGGGAAGGGCAUUUGAUCAGACAUGGUGUUUUGUGCCCUCUGCUCCUUGUGGGUAGGGAAUCUCGCAUUUCACUGGGCCAGCAUCAGUUUUGGUGGCAGGAUAAAUCCAUAGGAAUGUAGCUUGCCUCGGUAAGUAUUAUAGCCUGUGGGAAUACUGCC